UUUGUCCUUCUCAUCGAGCCUCUCUCUCAUCGAGGCCCAUUUUCUUCCCUGUCGAUCUCCCCUCUUAUCGAGCCAUCGAGCCCCUCUUCUUCCCUCUCCAGCGCUUGUUCUUGCCUCUCAUUGACCCAUUGUUCGCCAACCCUUCUUCUAUAGCCUCCAUUGAAACCCUAACAUCCACUACAAACGCCUCUUUCACGUUACCCUCUCCUUGAACCCUAGCCUCCACCCCCGUGCUCCACUACAUGGUUGAGGGUACUAGAGACCGCUCCAGUAGUCAUGCUUCCUCGUUGGCUCUCCUCUUGGUACCCUAACUCAUUCUCAUACUGACGUAGAGACGACUGGAAUGGUAGCGCAAAAGUCUCGUGCUCACUAACUAAAGUUUUCUCACUCACACUCGCUCACGGUAUCUGGUAGAGAAGAAGAAUGUCUCGCACUAACCAUUCUUCUUACUCACACUCACUCAAAGAGAAGAAGUUCGUCUAUUCUUCUCGCGUUCACUCACCUUGUUGGACAUCAUGCUCACUUGGGAGUGUUAUUCGUUCAAUCAAUUGAUGCAGAAUGGUCCGUUGUGGGGUUUGCACAAAGAUUCACCGAAUAGAUUCGUUUGUUCUUGAAAAUUUAGUUGAUUUUAAUGAAUAGAGCUUCUGAAAUGUGAAAGAUGGUGAUGGACUUAUUCCUAGGCCAAGCCAUGGAAGGGAGAGUGCAAAAGAAGAAGAGAGAGAUUGGAGAGUGGCUCGCCGUUGAUGCCGAGACCAAACCCCUCUUGGAGCUCCAGAUGAAGUUAAAUCUUAAUUUUCUUCUUCAUUAUAAUGUGAAGUUUGCCUUAGACAUUGUGGUCCUGUAUUAUAGCUUUGCAACAGUUUGCUUCCCUCCUUCUCCUAUAUCGGGCUCUUUUGAUGGUUUAAAGCCUUAAUGUCUGACUACUUGAUGCAUAUGCUAAUGAAAGCUUGCUUAUCUAGAGAAUAUUUACUUAUGAACCACAAUUCAUUCAUUUACACCUUCAAGCUUUUUCAACUUGCAGCAUUGGCAAUUAUUCAGAUUAAUUACAGCAGUUGGGAGGGAAAUGACAGUAGCUCUAAUACUUUGGAAAUUGAAUUCUUCGUUUUUUUUUUUUUGCUAUAAGUGGUUUUUUCCUAUCAAAAGGAGGAGUUGUCGUCCCCUGAAGCCGAGCUUAGGUUUCUUGAAAUCACAAAAUAUACAAGAUAUCAUAUACAUUUGAAAAAGUUGUUGAAGGCAAAAAAGCUGCCAAGGAAGCCUCGCAACUUAGACAUGUUUAAGAACAGUUGAUAGUCCUUUAUUGGGGCUCAUUUAUCGAUUGACUCAUCGAAAAGGAAUUCAUCUAAUCAAGCAUGCACCCUAGAAGGUGGUGGACAGCAGGAACAAUUGGAGAAGAAAAAUGCACAAUAUGAAGAGAAGUUGAAAAACAAAAUAGCUACCGUCCUCUAUGCAUCCAGAUUCCCUACACACAGGAAGGGCUCUUAAUUUUUAACUAAGAACUCCAACUGCUUGAGAAAUUUUUCUAAUAACCUAGCAACUAGAUGCAAUUGUUCAACUCUAAUGCUCUGUGGUAAUGUGUCAUCGCUAGCCAGGCAGAACAUACCAGGCAGGAUAUGCCCAAUGAUUACUUAUAGGUUUCAUUUAAUUUGCUUGAGAAGUAUUUGGAAGCACAGUCAAAGGCCUCCAUGUGGGAAAAUGAGCUCCUGGAUGUAGGCUACCAGCCUUUGUGCAUCCAGAUUCCCUACAUAGUAAGGGCUCUUAAUUUUGAACUAAGAACUCCUUCCUCACGUUUUCUUUCCUUAGUUGGUAUAAGGCUUACUCCUUGCAUAUUAUUUUCUCUAUUAGUCGUGUACUCUUUCUGUCAGAUGGCUUACUCCAAGUAACAUUUAUUUUUGUACUUCUUUAUACACUUGAUAAGGAUAGUAAUUUGUUCUCCAUGAGAGUGAGGUAGUAUUGUAUAACAUUAACUAAUUCACUUUCUUCUACAGUUUUGUUAACAUGAAGAAUUCAGUUCUCUAUUUGAUU